rnacentral:SRP_RNA from 1 species
GCCAGGCACAGUGGUGCACGCCUGUAGUCUCAGUUACUCGGGAGGCUGAGCCCGCCGGAUCGCUUGAGCCCAGGAGUUCUGGGCUGCAGUGCGCUAUGCCGAGCGGGCGUCCGCGCUAAGGCCGGCAUCAAUAUGGUGAGCCCCGGGGAGCCGAGGCACACCAGGUUGCCUAAGGAGGGGGUGCCAGCACAUGGUCAGCUAACCGGUACCCGCUCCUGGUUCUUGGGCGAGGGUAUGCCUGUGUCCAGACCCAUUCUGGCCUGCUUUGGUUGCCAGCCAGAUGGGUCCAU